rnacentral:lncRNA from 1 species
AAAAAUGUUAAAAUAACAAAAUAAAAACCCAACAACAGUUUAACAAACAAACAAAAAACACAGCAUUCCUUAGAAGUAUUUGUCAUCUAAGUGAGAAAAGUAUAAGGAAACUUGGAAUAAUUAUAUUCUAACCAUUUUGUUUUACAAAGAAACCAAGGUUAACAUAGAUGGGGACUGUUACCAGUUUUUGCUGCUAAUUAGUUAGAAGUGGAAGGAGAAGUCAAGCCUCCUGAUUCCUAGCCAGAUUUUCUUUUUCUCACUUCUCCUUGCUGAAUCAUUGGCCAAAAAUGUACAACUAACUUCUCCUUUUGGGAAGUGCAUAUUUCAUAUUAAC